rnacentral:rRNA from 1 species
AUUGAACGCUGGCGGCAGGCUUAACACAUGCAAGUCGAGCGGUAGCACAGGGGAGCUUGCUCCCUGGGUGACGAGCGGCGGACGGGUGAGUGAUGUCUGGGAAACUGCCUGAUGGAGGGGGAUAACUACUGGAAACGGUAGCUAAUACCGCAUAACGUCGCAAGACCAAAGAGGGGGACCUUCGGGCCUCUUGCCAUCAGAUGUGCCCAGAUGGGAUUAGCUAGUAGGUGGGGUAAUGGCUCACCUAGGCGACGAUCCCUAGCUGGUCUGAGAGGAUGACCAGCCACACUGGAAAUGAGACACGGUCCAGACUCCUACGGGAGGCAGCAGUGGGGAAUAUUGCACAGUGGGCGCAAGCCUGAUGCAGCCAUGCCGCGUGUGUGAAGAAGGCCUUCGGGUUGUAAAGCACUUUCAGCGAGGAGGAAGGUGGUGAGCUUAAUACGUUCAUCAAUUGACGUUACUCGCAGAAGAAGCACCGGCUAACUCCGUG